GCUUUCCUUGGAAUUUGACAGUGAAGCUGACCUUUUAGCAGUGAUGCCAUUUCAUCAAGAAGAUGCGGCAGGAAUUUGAGACAGCACUUGCCCAAUGAUGCAGGGGGUUGGGUGGGCAGAAUUAGAGAGCAAGAGGAGGAAGAGGAUGAGGAAGGACAGUUGCCUCAGAUGAGAUCAGGGCCACAUUGGUUGACCAUGUGCUCAACCAUGGAUUGAGUAUGAGGGAGGCUGGGCAGAGAGUUCAGCCCAACCCGAGCCGCUACACGGUUGCAUCUAUCAUCUGUAAAUUCAGAAAUGAGAACCUAACUGAGAGACGACCAGGCCAUGGUGGAAGACACCGGCUAUUCACACCAGAACAGGAGACCGCUAUUGUGAACAUAGUGGUGGCAAACAAUAUCAUUAGACUAUGAGAAAUCCAGAACCACAUAAUUGCAGACAACACAAUAUUCAAUAACAUUCACCAAGUGGGCUUGUCUACAUUGGACCGUGUAUUACAGCGCAACCGAAUCCGGAUGAAACAUGUCUACAUGGUGCCAUUUGAGCGAAACUUAGAGAGGGUUAAAGAACAGCGCUAUGAAUAUGUGCAAAGAGUCUUGGAGCUGGAUGCCGCUGCAAUUCAGCACGUUUAUAUUUACAUUGAUGAGGCUGGCUUCAACCUAGCCAAAAGAAGGGGACGGUGACGGAACAUUAUUGGCCACCGUGCCAUUGCGAAUGUCCCUGGACAGCGUGGAGGGAAUAUUACUGUGUGAGCAGCCGUUAACCAGCAGUGCGUCCUCCAUCACCAUGCCAACCUUGGUCCCUACAACACCGCCAUUCUCAUCACAUUCCUGGACACACUACAUGACAUCCUCAUUCCAACCGAGCAGAGGGGUGGACCAGAGCAGCCCAGGUAUGUAGCCAUCUGGGACAACGUGAGUUUCCACCGGGCUGCAAUGGUCCACAUCUGGUUUAUCGACCACCCACAAUUUAUUGUUCUAUACCUCCGACCAUAUUCCCCAUUCCUAAACCCAAUUGAAGAGUUUCUUUCGGCAUAGCGAUGGAAAGUGUAUGACCGCCAUACCCUCGCACGCAUGCCUCUUCUCCAGACAAUGGAGGAUGCAUGUGGUGAAGUUGAUGUGGGGGCUUUCGGCGGCUGGAUCCGUCACACCAGAAGAUUCUUUCCCCGCUGUUUAGCCAGGGAGAACAUGGCUUGUGAUGUAGAUGAGGUGCUGUGGCCAGACCAAAAUAGGAGGCAGGAUGCAGCCUAAUGUCUUUUUUCUUACAUUUUGCUUGUGUUUUUGUCUUUUUGUGUUUAGAGUUUUGAAAGAAUGAGCCCCUUUCAUUUUUAUUUUUGUACAGAAAACCCUUUAUCUUACUGAAUGUUUUUCCUGGUUCUCUCCUGUUUGGUAUGGAAAGUGUUACAUA